UACAGAGGAGCCAAGCGUUGUCCGGAUUGACUGGGCGUAAAGCGCACGCAGGCGGUUGCGCGCGUGGGGUGUGAAAUCUGGCCGCUUAACGGCCAGGCGCCAUCCCAUACGGCGCGACUGGAGUGAUGCAGAGGUCGAUGGAAUUGCCGGUGUAGUGGUGAAAUGCGUAGAGAUCGGCAGGAACACCCAGGGGGAAACCAGUCGACUGGGCAUCUACUGACGCUGAGGUGCGAGAGCGUGGGGGAGCAAACAGG
rnacentral:rRNA from 1 species